rfam:Stegodyphus mimosarum contig125277, whole genome shotgun sequence.
GCCUUCAUGAUGUAAUGGUCAGCACAUUCGGCGCGUAUUCGACAGGCCCGUGGUUCGAGUCCCGGCGAGGGCA